GGGCUAUUAUCAUCCCGGGGGGGAGGCCAAUCGCGCGAUUCGCCCCACGUGAUCUGAUGGCCUAUAUAAAAGCUAAUGGCUCCGCCUCAUUCGUCCUCUUUCUCUUCGCGCGUCGUGCAGAGCGAAAGGGUCCGCCAUGGGUGAAAACAUCAAAACUGCACUAGUGAUAAAGGGCAUGACAAAGGGUUCCAUGCUUGCAGAAUGGGACUUCUGCUUUUUACAGCAAGACUGUUGUGCAACAUGAACAUCUGCUGUGCCACAGAAUCCAAAAUGUCUAUCAACAGGUCUGCAUGACAAAUGGCAUGGAUGGAUAAACCAUGAAGCAAAGAAAAGUCUAGAUCCAUCUUUGAAACUGAAAUGCUGUAGUCAGAACUACUCUUAAUGGUCCUGACUGGAACUGCCAAGCUGGGCAACAAGUUUCUCAUGUUGAUUAACCUGUUGAGAGGUUAGUAAGAUACGCAAUCCUUCUACAUAUUUUCUGUGUCCUGUUGAGUAGGCUCUGUAGACGUGGUAUUUUGUCGGUUGACUUUGAGGACUUGCUUCAGAAAAUGAGCACGAAAAAUGCUGAAUUAAAUGUAGAAAAUAGCACAUACUUUGGAGAACAUUCUAGGUUACAUUCUUUGUGUUUUUAGCUUCAAGGAGAUUGUUAGAACCUAUUGACAUUUAAAGUAAGUUGUAUUGCAAUAGGCUGAUCAAUCAAUAGUCCCACUCUGCCUGCAAUAAAAUACCCAGGAAAAAGCCAAUGAUGUUUCUAAGAGUAGUGGACAGAAGAAUUUUCUGACAUAUAUUGCACUGAGGCUUUUGUAAAAAAUGGUGACUAUAGUUGGGCAGAGAACUGUUGUUUGUUGGUGAUUUGUCCAGGGCCAUGACUGACUGAUUGAAUCAAUCAUUGUUUUUAAUGUAAGCUGCUUUGAGUAUCCUUGUGGAGAGAAAAAGAAGGGUAUAAAUAAACAAUAACAACAAUAAUAAUUGAUGGUAUUAAUUUAUUAUACUAAGUAUAGAAAUGGGAAUAAAAUUCAGGGCAAUUGUGCCAUCAUGCACAUGCCCACUCAGAAGUCUGCUGUGGGUAUAGAUAAGCAUUUGGGCUUUUUGGUUGGAUGAUAUAUUAAUUAGGAUCUCUCUUAAGUUGCAGUGGAAACUAAUGGAGAGAGGUCGGUCUUGCCUUCCAGAUUUGAUUAUAUGAACAAAUUGUUGGGAAGAAGUAUCUGUGGAGGUUCUUGAGGUGGUUAAAUCUUGAAGUGGCAGUUGACUUCAAAAGGUGGAAACAUUGCAGCUUUGCUGGAAGAAGUAAGGGAAGAAGAGCAGGAUAUGACAUUCUAAAAGAGAAUGGUUCUGUGAAUGCUGCCUUCUAUUUACUGGCUCUUAUAAUACACGGGAGUGCCCGUAAUGGAAAUGCUGUUCUAAUGCAUAUGAUCACACCAUGGAAAAUAAAUUGAGCAUACCCAGAGGGAUAGUAAUUACUGAAAUGUGUAUUCUGGGAAGGACACAAGUAGCAUUUUGGCAAAGGGGAAGAAUUAGCCUGUAACAGCUGCCCAUCCCUAUAGUAGCGGAAUGUUUUGUGAUGGGAUUCUUUGUGGCAAUUGUAAAACGUACAAUAAAGCAAUGCAAUCAAAAUGGGCUAAAAAA